AGCGGUAGAGAGAAGCUUGCUUCUCUUGAGAGCGGCGGACGGGUGAGUAAUGCCUAGGAAUCUGCCUAGUGGUGGGGGAUAACGUUCGGAAACGGACGCUAAUACCGCAUACGUCCUACGGGAGAAAGCGGGGGAUCUUCGGACCUCGCGCCAUUAGAUGAGCCUAGGUCGGAUUAGCUAGUUGGUGAGGUAAUGGCUCACCAAGGCGACGAUCUGUAACUGGUCUGAGAGGAUGAUCAGUCACACUGGAACUGAGACACGGUCCAGACUCCUACGGGAGGCAGCAGUGGGGAAUAUUGGACAAUGGGCGAAAGCCUGAUCCAGCCAUGCCGCGUGUGUGAAGAAGGUCUUCGGAUUGUAAAGCACUUUAAGUUGGGAGGAAGGGUAGUAACUUAAUACGUUGCUACUUUGACGUUACCGACAGAAUAAGCACCGGCUAACUUCGUGCCAGCAGCCGCGGUAAUACGAAGGGUGCAAGCGUUAAUCGGAAUUACUGGGCGUAAAGCGCGCGUAGGUGGUUCAGUAAGUUGGAAGUGAAAUCCCCGGGCUCAACCUGGGAACUGCUUUCAAAACUGCUGAGCUAGAGUACGGUAGAGGGUGGUGGAAUUUCCUGUGUAGCGGUGAAAUGCGUAGAUAUAGGAAGGAACACCAGUGGCGAAGGCGACCACCUGGACUGAUACUGACACUGAGGUGCGAAAGCGUGGGGAGCAAACAGGAUUAGAUACCCUGGUAGUCCACGCCGUAAACGAUGUCAACUAGCCGUUGGAAUCCUUGAGAUUUUAGUGGCGCAGCUAACGCAUUAAGUUGACCGCCUGGGGAGUACGGCCGCAAGGUUAAAACUCAAAUGAAUUGACGGGGGCCCGCACAAGCGG
rnacentral:rRNA from 1 species